UCAGACAGGUUGGGUGGGAGCCGGGU
rnacentral:piRNA from 1 species